AACUAGACCCUUUUCUUUUUCAGCACCCACAUGACCCUAAAACACAAUUUAAAAUAGAAACUACCAUUUUAGGUCAGGAGGCAAAAAUUAAAACACUUAAAGGGACCAGACACAUAAUGCACACAAGGAACUGAGUCAAGAAAGGACUGUGAUGAACUGAAUAGCACCUCCAGUAAUGCCCCACUGAAACCCAGCUCCAGCUGAUUUUUGCCAGGUAGAAACAUAAGCCUAGCCCAGUGCUACUUGAUCUUGAUCUUUACGGCUUUUUUUUUGAGAUGGAGUCCCACUCUGUCUCCAGGCUGGAGUGCAGUGGCACGAUCUCAGCUCACUGCAACCUCUACCUCCUGGGUUCAAACAAUUCUCCUGCCUCAGCCUCCUGAGUAGCUGGGACUACAGGCUCAAGCCACCGUGCCUGGCGAUCUUCUAAGUUUUUAAUUAGCAACUAGAAAUCCAGAUGUUAAAAUGAAAUCUUUAGAUUUUAAUGGUGGCCAUCAGUUUUCACCCUCUAAUUUAGACUUUUUCCAUGGGAUAUUUCAUGUAUAUUUUAGCUUUGUCAGAUUAACUGAUUAUUAUCAAAUCAGAAGCAAUUUGACUUUUAAUUUACAGUAAUGCAUUAAUUUUGUAAAAUAGGAUUUAAACUUUUAAUUUCCAAAAGUCUAACUCUAUCUACCUAAAAUAUCUAAUAAAGGUAUACAAAGACAUAAAAACAACUAUUAUCAAUUUAAAAAGCUGUACCCUCUUCCAUCAUCAUAUCUGGAAUCAGAUGAGUUUCCAUAGCUUCUUCUUUUUUUCACAUCUUGCUGAAGCAGAGUUUUGAAACUGAA
rnacentral:lncRNA from 10 species